rnacentral:ncRNA from 1 species
AUCUUCAGGGCAGGGUGCAACUCCCGACCGGCGGUAAAGUCCGCGAGCGUCCUCGGGCGCAGGAUCCGGUGCAAUUCCGGAACCGACAGUAACAGGCUCUCACAGGGGCCUGAAGUCUGGAUGGAAGAAGAUG